rnacentral:rRNA from 1 species
UGAAGCCGGAAUUGCUAGUAAUGGCAGGUCAGCAUACUGCCGUGAAUACGUUCCCGGGCCUUGUACACACCGCCCGUCACACCAUGAGAGUUGGGAAUACCCGAAGCCUGUGAGCUAACGUUAAGAGGCAGCAGUCGAAGGUAGAAUCAAUGAUUGGGGUGAAGUCGUAACAAGGUAGC